AGAGAGAGACAUGCGCGCAUAUCAAUAAGCGGAGGAAAAGAAACUAACUAGGAUUCCCUCAGUAACGGCGAGUGAAGCGGGAAGAGCUCAAAUUUGAAAUCUUCAAGGUUCUACCUUGACGAAUUGUAGUUUAAAGAAGUGUUUUCUGUUGGAGUUUUGGUAGAAGUUCUUUGGAAUAGGACAUCAUAGAGGGUGAGAAUCCCGUAUUUGACCAUUAUUUCCAGCUUUGUGAUAUACUUUCAAAGAGUCGGAUUGUUUGGGAAUGCAGUCCAAAAUGGGUGGUAAAUUUCAUCUAAAGCUAAAUACUGGCGAGAGACCGAUAGCGAACAAGUACCGUGAGGGAAAGAUGAAAAGAACUUUGAAAAGAGAGUUAAACAGUACGUGAAAUUGUCAAAAGGGAAGCGUUUGACACCAGUGUUGUUUUCUCGAAAAUCAAUUAAAAAAGGCAGGAUUUUGUGUUGUAUUGACUUUAUCAGCUUUCUGCACUCUUUCUUGUCUUUUUUAAUGCACUUUUCGUUUAACAAGUCAACAUCAAUUUCUUUUGUUGUAAAAGGGUCAUUGGAAGGUGGCUUUCUUUUCGGAGAAAGUGUUUAUAGCCUUCGGCCUCUGCAAUCGGAGAGAUUGAGGUCUGCAGCGUAGAUCCUUCGGGGUUAGAUACAUUUGUGCUAAGUUAUAGCCUUUUCAUAGACAACUUGUUGACUAUGAUCAGUCAUGUAGCUUACUCGCUUAUGCUAUUUUACCUACGCUUAGGAUGUUGAUGUGAUACUGCGAGCA
rnacentral:rRNA from 1 species